AUGGAUUCCGACCUCGACAUGGAGGAUUCUGAUCUUCGGUCGGUCAUGGCUUUUCCUGUGACUGCCUCGCUGGGCCCUGCUGGUCCCCUCCUCAGGCAACUCCGCUUGCUGACCACUUUACCGAACGUGGUUGGCGAGGAUGAGAUUCAGAGGUUCACAGAGGAUCUCGAUGGAUUAUGCAUCUCCCUCAUGCAUCAGUCAGAAGCGGAGGAGCCUUUGAGCUCCACGGCUAAGUCCUGGAUGAACAAGGUCCGGGAACUAUGUUAUGACACCAAAAGCUACUUGGACGAUGCCCCAUUUAUUUCCAAGCAAGACGAUGAGGAUGAUGAUGCCCAGCUCACUCCACAAGAGAAGCAAGAAAAUGCCCAGUUCGAAUUCAAGAUGCUUGAGGCUCGAGCCAAGAAUGCGAGCAGAAGACGCAAGAGGUAUGAAAUCGAUCAGAAGAGCUCUAAUAACAAGACUAAACUUCCGUCAAAGAGGAGUCGGCUUCCAGUUCUCCAUCCACAACUGAUUGACCGCUACAGAAUGGAUAAGCUCACCAACAUGCUGGGUAAUGAAGAGGGGGAGCCGCUCAAGAUUGUAUCUAUGGUUGGGCUUGAGGGUGUCGGUAAGACCACACUCGCCAAGAGGGUAUACCACAAGCUCCAGACCGGUGAACGGUUCCGGUGCCGGGCUUUUGUGAGGGUGUCUAGGAACCCGGACAUGAGGAGGCUUCUAACCACCAUUUUCACACAGAUUCAAUUGCCGGAUUUUUCUUCUUCGGAGGGUGUCUCUCAGCCUAGUUGCUGCUUGGAUGCGCAGGCCCUUAUCACAAAUAUCAAAAAUUAUCUGCAAGACAAAAGGUACUUGAUCAUAAUUGAUGAUUUAUGGACUACCUCGGUAUGGGAUAUUAUUAGGCGUGCUUUUCCUGAUGACGGUUGUCACAGCAGAAUAGUAAUAAUCACCCAAUUUGAGGAUGUAGCAUCGGCAUGCUGUAGUUAUCAGUCAAAGUACAAAUUUGAGAUGGAUCCUCUCAAAUAUGAUCAAUCACGAAAAUUAUUUUUCAGUAUAGUGUUUGGCUCUGAAGAUGAAAUCAGGUUCCAUGAGGGCUUCAAAAAAGUGUCAUCUGAGAUUAUUGAGAAAUGUGAUGGUUUACCGUUAUCAAUGGUAAAUAUAGCCAGCUUGUUGCCAGCACCAAGCAGACUGAACCUCCAGCAAUGGAUGGAUAUUCGAGAUUCGUUGCCUCCCACUCUGAAGACAAAUCCUAGUUCUGAAGGGAUGGAAAAGGUUAUAAAUCUUAUAUACAACAAUCUUUCCCCUCAAGUGAAGACAUGCUUGCUACAUCUUGUUUUGUAUCCAGAGGGCUACACGAGCAAUAAGGAUGACUUGGUGAAGCAAUGGGUAACUGAAGGUUUCAUAGGGGAAGGGCAAAAUAAUGAGGAAAUUGCGCGGGAUUAUUUUGAUGAGCUUGUCAGUACAGGAAUGAUCCAAGCUGUAGACAUGAAUUACCAAGGGGUACAGUCGUGUACACUUCACCACAUGGUACAUGAUUUUAUUGCGAAGAAAUCCAUGGAGAGAAACUUCAUCAUUGUUGUGGACUAUUUUCAGUCAGCUAUAUUGCUUAAUCCUAGCAAGGUUCGUCGUCUGUCUAUCCAAUUCGGUGGUGCAAGGAACGCACGGAUACCAGCGGGAAUCACGCUGUCCGAAGUUCAAUCACUUGCAUUUUUUGGAUUCUGUGGAUGCACGGAUUUCAUUGGUGGGUGUAAGCUUCUUCGGGUUCUAAUUCUCCAUGUGUGGGAUGAUCAAGAUAAGGUGCCUUUUGACCUCUCUGGAAUUAUUAGUAAACUACUUCCACUGAGAUAUUUGAAGAUUGCAUGCAAUAUCCCAAUCAAACUUCCAGACAAGAUUCAAGAUCUGCAAUACUUGGAGACACUGGAAGUGGACGCAACAGUAGCAACUAUCCCAUCGGGUAUCAGAAAACUCAGCAGGCUCUCCAGUCUAAAGAUUGCAGUUAGUGUGCUAUCGAGGAAUGAUAUUUGUAUCCUCCGAGCAUUGCCAGCCCUUUCCGCUCUCUCGCUGCAUGUGUGGACCACGCCCAUUGAAAUGAUCAUCUUCGACAAGGAAGAAUUUCUAGUUCUCAAGUCCUUUGAAUUCAGGUGCCCCGUGCCUUGGCUGAAAUUUGAAACUGGUUCAAUGCCUGACCUCCGGAAUCUCGACCUAGGUUUCAACGCCUGCGAAGCAGAACAGCACGAUAUUGUGCCUAUCGGCAUGGAGCACCUGUCAGGCCUCCAAGUAAUCACUGCACAUAUUUGGGGUUCACAUGCCGAUGUAGGAUCUACAUUCAGAACCGCCAUUAGCAGUCAUCCAAGCAAUCCUAGAAUCUACAUGCGGCUGGUCCAUCCUAUUUUUCAUGGUGACGCGACCACAAGUGUGGGGACAAUCAAAGUGAAAGAUGAGAAAAAACAAGCUGCCGAUACCAGGAGAUGUAAAAACGGUGUCCGCAUGCCAACUGCCCAACCGCCUUCAUUUCCCUUCCACCCGACGCCCGCCUCCGCCGCCGGCGAUUUCUUGCCGAAAGCCUUGCUGCCGCCGCCCUACCGUCGAUCCCCGACCCCGCCGCCUAGCCAUCGAGGAGCCGCUGAUUUGAGCCUGUCCCGCCAGACUUCCGCCGUCGCGCGACUCGCCCAUCGCACCACGCCGCCGUCGCCCCGCUGCCAAAUCCAGACGCUCCACCGCCCCCGGUACCGGUCCAGACGCUACUCUGCCCCCGCUCGCCUCCAAAUCGUCCGAAUUGGACGCUUCUCCGACGCUGAAUCGCUGCCGCACCGCCGCAUGAUUUGA
rnacentral:rRNA from 1 species